rnacentral:rRNA from 1 species
GAUGAACGCUGGCGGCGUGCCUAAUACAUGCAAGUCGAGCGAACAGACGAGGAGCUUGCUCCUCUGACGUUAGCGGCGGACGGGUGGGUAACACGUGGAUAACCUACCUAUAAGACUGGGAUAACUUCGGGAAACCGGAGCUAAUACCGGAUAAUAUAUUGAACCGCAUGGUUCAAUAGUGAAAGACGGUUUUGCUGUCACUUAUAGAUGGAUCCGCGCCGCAUUAGCUAGUUGGUAAGGUAACGGCUUACCAAGGCAACGAUGCGUAGCCGACCUGAGAGGGUGAUCGGCCACACUGGAACUGAGACACGGUCCAGACUCCUACGGGAGGCAGCAGUAGGGAAUCCUCCGCAAUGGGCGAAAGCCUGACGGAGCAACGCCGCGUGAGUGAUGAAGGUCUUCGGAUCGUAAAACUCUGUUAUUAGGGAAGAACAAAUGUGUAAGUAACUAUGCACGUCUUGACGGUACCUAAUCAGAAAGCCACGGCUAACUACGUG